CAGAGGGGAGGGGGGAAACGAAAAAACAGUAGAGAAAAUAGGGUGAAGGGAAAGAAUAGAUUUAAAAAAGGAACGAAAAACUUCAUGAAAGCUGAGAAAAAAAGAAACCCAGCAAGCUGUUUCUUCCUCCUAAUUUCAUCACCCAAAAACUUCAUCUUCCCCAUAUAUAGCUCCAUUCAAGAUCAACCACAAACAGCCAUAAAACCUCCAUUAAAAUCAUUAUGAAAGCUGUAAAACCAGCUCCAAAAACGUAAAAAUAAUAGCUCGAAUCGCUGCCAUUUUCACCAAGGAAACAACCCCCCUAGAAUCCUCCAUUAAUCUCGUCGAAGUUCUGCGCUCGAGGUCGUCUGUCGAGUUUGUCAACUAUAGCUUUGGCCUGGAGUCUUUUCUGUUCAUUGUUUCAAAAACACAGUACAACUAUAAAGGCAUCCACCUGGAGAAUGAGGGAAUUCGUUUCAAAAUUAUUUCAAGUUUCAAGUCAGUAGUAGGCACGCACCUGGAAAACGAGGAAAGUCAUUUCAGAAUUCAAUUCAAGUUAGAAGUAGUAGAAGCUCGCGGCAAGAAUGUUAGUCGACAGUCCGAGAUGACCAACAGAAGUAGCCUCAAUCCAGAAAAAAAAGGUGAAUCCAAAAUGAAAAAGCAGAGAAAGAUGUGAAAUACUCAAGACAUGGCUGAAGUCACGAGCACGUCGUGUCCGAUUUUAAACUAAAGAAGUCGUGGAAGAGUGAAUCAGCACCUGCAGCUAGCAAGCAUCAAGGUUUAAAUCAAAGUCUGCAUGAAAAACCGUUCAAGACUCAAGAUUAAGCUUCAGAAGACUUAUAAAUAGGAGUCUUGUAACUCAUCGCUGACAGGUUUAGUUAGUCGUUUUCAUUUUUGAUUUGAUGUAAUAACAGGACCGCGGACAGGAACCUCGACGGAAUCUCAUUCGACUCCCUCGUCCUCUCCACA